UACGGAGGGUGCAAGCGUUAUCCGGAUUUACUGGGUUUAAAGGGUGCGUAGGUGGGCAGAUAAGUCAGUGGUGAAAUCUCCGGGCUUAACUCGGAAACUGCCAUUGAUACUAUUUGUCUUGAAUAUCCUGGAGGUGAGCGGAAUAUGUCAUGUAGCGGUGAAAUGCUUAGAUAUGACAUAGAACACCCAUUGCGAAGGCAGCUCACUACGGGAUUAUUGACACUGAGGCACGAAAGCGUGGGGAUCAAACAGG
rnacentral:rRNA from 1 species